rnacentral:piRNA from 1 species
GAUUUUUGGAACUAGGAGUUGGA